UACAGAGGGGUGCGAGCGUUUAAUCGGAAUUACUGGGCGUAAAGCGCACGUAGGCGGCUUGGUAUGUCGGGUGUGAAAUCCCCCGGGCUCAACCUGGGAACUGCAUCCGAAACUGCCUUGCUCGAGUAUGGGAGAGGGAAGUGGAAUUUCCGGUGUAGCGGUGAAAUGCGUAGAUAUCGGAAGGAACAUCAGUGGCGAAGGCGACUUCCUGGACCAAUACUGACGCUCAGGUGCGAAAGCGUGGGGAGCAAACAGG
rnacentral:rRNA from 1 species